rnacentral:rRNA from 1 species
CCUACGGGAGGCAGCAGUGGGGAAUAUUGGGCAAUGGGCGCAAGCCUGACCCAGCAACGCCGCGUGAAGGAAGAAGGCUUUCGGGUUGUAAACUUCUUUUCUCAGGGACGCAGAAAGUUACGGUACCUGAGGAAUAAGCCACGGCUAACUACGUGCCAGCAGCCGCGGUAAUACGGAGGUGGCAAGCGUUAUCCGGAUUUACUGGGUGUAAAGGGCGUGUUGGCGGGACUGCAAGUCAGAUGUGAAAAUCACGGGCUCAACCUGUGGCUUGCAUUUGAAACUGUAGUUCUUGAGUACUGGAGAGGCAGACGGAAUGCCUGGUGUAGCGGUGAAAUGCGUAGAUAUUAGGAGGAACACCAGUGGCGAAGGCGGUCUGCUGGACAGCAACUGACGCUGAGGCGCGAAAGCGUGGGGAGCAAACAGGAUUAGAUACCCUAGUAGUC